rnacentral:rRNA from 1 species
GACGAACGCUGGCGGCGUGCCUAAUACAUGCAAGUAGAACGCUGAAGGAGGAGCUUGCUUCUCCGGAUGAGUCGCGAACGGGUGAGACACGCGUAGGUAACCUGCCUGGUAGCGGGGGAUAACUAUUGGAAACGAUAGCUAAUACCGCAUAAGAGUAGAUGUUGCAUGACAUUUGCUUAAAAGUUGCAAUUGCGUCACUACCAGAUGGUACUGCGUUGUAUUGGCUGGUUGGUGGGGUAACGGCUGACACAGGCGGCGAUACAGAGCCGACCGGAGAGGGGGAUCGGCCACACGGGGGCUUGGACAGGGCCCAGACGCCUGCGGGAGGCCGCAGUAGCGAAUCGUCGGCAAUGGACGGGAGUCUUACCGAGCAACGCCGCGUGUGAUGAGGAGGUUUUCGGUGCGUAAAGCUCGGUUGUGAGUGAAGAACUAGUGUGAGAAUGGAAAGAGCACACUGUGACGGUAUCUUACCAGAAAGCGCCGGCUAACUACGUG